UCUCUCUCUCUCUCUCUCUCUCUCUCCUCUCAUCUACUCACCAAUAAAAAAUGAACAAGUAUAAUAUUUUUUAAGUUGAAAAUUAAAUCAAUCAAACACAUUUAAUUGAGAAUUUUCAUGCAAAUAAGUUAUAAACAAUUGAACUGUUUAGAAUUUAUUUUCGUUCAAUACAAAUUCCAUCCUUACAAUCAACCGCACCCUUAAAAAAAAAUAAAAGUUUAGAAAUGCUAUCCCAAAAAAGUUAUUUAUUGGAAAACUACAAAGGCUAGGUCUAUAUGGAUCUAUGCCACAGAGAAUGUUAAUAAUAUCUCCAAUAAGCUCUCUAUUUUUCAAAAACAUAUUCUAUUAUUUGAAUAGCAUAAAUAAAUUUUUAUAUUUAAUAUUUAAUUUUAUUACUCUAAAAAAAUAUUUAUUAAUUUUCUCUAUCUUUUAUUUUAACCAACUUUUCUCAAUAUUAUUUUAUUAUCUUUCUACAAUAAAAAUUGAAACAGUUUGAAUACAUUUAAUUAUAGAGAAUGGGUUUGAUUAAUUUAAGGAGUCUCUUGCAGCUUGAUUUUAAGGGUUGACUCAUUAAAAUAGAGAGCAUCUCAUAUUUAAAAAGUCUUUUAAAGAUGCUCUAAUAGAACAAAAUGUGUUGCGAGUAGAGAGGUUAUUACCAUAUUUAACUUGAAUUUUCGAAUGGAAAAAGUACAUAACUAUAAAUAUUUAAGAAUAAUAUUUUAAUUAAUAAAUUUAAAAAAAAAACUGUCAAAAAUCAUAUGAUCACAUUUAUGACAUUUUGAUAAAUGUUGUGAUAAAUAAUUAAAAUUAAAAAUGUCACGAUCAUACACCACUCGAUUUAUUGACCACUGCCAUGAUAAGUCACAUACCAUACAAGAUCACAAUUGUAUAUUAAGUCACGCAUUAUGCAAUUAGUAGGUAACAAUCACAUGUUAAAUAAAAAAUUCCAUCUUCUUAAACUAAUCCACUGGAAACCACCACCCACCAAAUUCUUCCAUUCACGACCACCAUCGCACCAUCCAUCCACUCUAAAACUUCUCUUGCAUUUCAUCUUUCAUAUCAGCAUCCUGCAAUGCUAUCACCAGCAAAUGGUGGUACUGCUUCAAAAC
rnacentral:lncRNA from 1 species